GCGGCCUAUCAGCUUGUUGGUGGGGUAGUGGCUUACCAAGGCUUUGACGGGUAGCCGGCCUGAGAGAGUGACCGGCCACAUUGGGACUGAGAUACGGCCCAGACUCCUACGGGAGGCAGCAGUGGGGAAUAUUGCACAAUGGGCGGAAGCCUGAUGCAGCAACACCGCGUGCGGGAUGACGGCCUUCGGGUUGUAAACCGCUUUCGCCUGUGACGAAGCGUGAUUGACGGUAAUGGGUAAAGAAGCACCGGCUAACUACGUGCCAGCAGCCGCGGUGAUACGUAGGGUGCGAGCGUUGUCCGGAUUUAUUGGGCGUAAAGGGCUCGUAGGUGGUUGAUCGCGUCGGAAGUGUAAUCUUGGGGCUUAACCCUGAGCGUGCUUUCGAUACGGGUUGACUUGAGGAAGGUAGGGGAGACUGGAAUUCCU
rnacentral:rRNA from 1 species